rnacentral:tRNA from 1 species
GGGCUCGUAGCCGGGCGUGCUGUACUUCUGCAGGAAGUAGACGAAGUGCAGGUCGCCGUUGAACGAGCCCA